UACAAAAAUAUUCUACAAUGACAUGUGGGCCCCAAAAUAACAAAAUAAACAAGACUAUAGGACUACGAUUUCUAAGAGUGCAAAUCCAAAAGCAAACCCUCGACAUAAUCAGCGGUCUACAGACUACCCUGAGCCUGAAAUGGGUGAAAAGAAGGGGUGAGUUUUUAUACACCUACUGAGUAAGCAAAGUUCAUCUACAACAUCUAAAGCCAAGUAAAUGCAGACAGUUAAAUCAUCCCAUCAUAAUAUGAUUAAUAACAUUUAAAACUCAUUUCAAUUCAUAUAAAACAAUUACAUUUCAUCGAAAUAAUCAACAAGGCUUAUGACUUUCUUAAAAACUUGGCUCGUGCCCAAAAUUAGUACUCGAUAAUGCCUUGCGCCGGACCUCCAACCAAGUCCGCCAAGGCAGUUAAAAAGACAUAUACACAUAAAACAUGUUUUCACGUUUAAAAACAUAAUCGUUCCUUGGCGUUGGCUGAGUUUCACUUUCACGUGGCGGUUUGACAUGGAGUGAACUCUAAACUUUACCUUAGGAGAUACCUUCCGCUCCUCUCACACUGAGGUAAAAUGUAACGGGGUUUACCGUGCCCCUCUAAUAGGCUGGUCCACAAAAACCCGCCACUACAGUAAGCUAAAUACAUAACCCACCAAAUCAAUAAAAUUUCGACAGCAAAACAUGCCUAAUAUAGUACUAUCCAACCUGUCAAUGUAAGAAAAAACAAUUUAUAUAAUUCACAAAACCACAAUUUCAGCCAUUCAUGCUACCACAAUUUCAUAAGCCAUCAAUUCAAAUGAUGUAUAUAUAUAUAAUACGAAUGUAUAGCCUCCACUUACUCUAUUUCGAAAAUCAACAUUUAGUUUCAGAAUAAUUUAUAAAUCCCAUUCAUUUAACCAACAUUUAAAAUGUAAAACAUAAUAAUUUACAACUUAAGUGCCUUAUUCUUUAAAAUCUUAAAACAAGUAUAAACUACUUUAGAUAAUUAAGAUGAACAUCUAAUUACUCACUAUAAUGGGAAUUUGGAGUGAUAGGAGUACUCCUAUUCUCGAUCCUUCGGCACGAUAUCUUUGCCCUUAUCGGGGGGUUCAGCACCUAUCCAUAAUACACGAUACGUAAUUCAAUACAUUGGUGUCAAAUUGUUAUAAAACUAUUUCAGACUCUAUAUGAAUGCAUGAAGUUGAAUGAGAAAUGUUCGGAUAGUCACUUAAAGACGAUGUUCUACGUAGGUUCAAUUGUGAUCGGAAGGAAUUUAUAUUCGACCUAAUUCAAACUAUACACCAUUGAUUUAACCAAAACAUCCGGUUCAACUCCAAAUAUAUUCAUUACACUUCCAAUAAUCUAAUACACCAAAGCAUUACAAUGAACUUGAUUUUUGACUAACUUCACCAUGUUUCGAAAUUCAUUCCGAUUCCGAACUAACAUGCUAAUCAAUGUCUACACAAUCUCGUAAAUCCAUACAUAUCAUUAGGAAUCAAAUCCAAAUCCAUUUACUAUGAUUUUCUCAAUUUCCAUCAAGCCAUUUUCUAAAGGAACUAUACUUUUCAAUAACCGGUUUCGAUAUCCAAUAUCAUAAUUCAUCAAUUCCUAGCUAAAUAACAAGAAUUACAUCCAAAUCCAUCAUCAGCAUGCCCUAUAGAAAAUUUGACCAAAUGUGGGUGGUUGAAGAACAUGUGAUUUUCUUGCUUGUUUUUCCUUCCAAACAUCACAAAAUGACUAAAAACACUAGAAUAUUAUGAAAUCUAGCAAAAUUCAUCACCAAAACUUCUCUCUCUAGAUUUGGCCAGCAAAAGUCCCCUCUUGAAAACUUGAAUUUCAGCCAUAGAGAAUGAAAAAGAAUGCAUGGGAAAGGUAGAUCACAAGCUAAAAUUAAAAAAUAUUACCUUUACUUGCUUGAUUCCUUAAAAUCCAACAAUUUCUCUUGAAUUUUUCCUUCCUAGGGUUUGCUCUUCUCUUUUCUCUUUGUUCCCUUGCUUGGCC
rnacentral:lncRNA from 1 species